CAAGGCAGAUUCCUCAGGUUCAGCAGAUUCCUCAGUCCUUUCCAGUGGUUGCCUGCAUCGUACUGGGAGCUCUGCUGUUUGUGGUCUUCAUCCUCUUUGGAGGGCAGCUAGUGAAGAACAGGGUGCUGAGGAGAGGGCUUGCUGAGAGGGAGCUCGCUGAUUCCCACUUCAAUGAACCACUCUAUGAGGAGAUCGAGUACAAACUGGCCAGGCAGGGAACCUACAGCUACCCCAGGAGCGGGAGUUUCUUUGAGGAUGAUGAUCUGGCCUAUGAUGAUGUGGACGAUACUAUAGGAAGCCUCGCUGCAGG